AGCGAACGCUGGCGGCAGGCCUAACACAUGCAAGUCGAACGAACCUUUCGGGGUUAGUGGCGGACGGGGGAGUAACACGUGGGAACGUGCCUUUAGGUUCGGAAUAACUCAGGGAAACUUGUGCUAAUACCGAAUGUGCUCUUCGGGGGAAAGAUCUAUCGCCUGUAGAGCGGCCCGCGUCUGAUUAGCUAGUUGGUUGAGGUAAUGGCUCACCAAGGCGACGAUCAGUAGCUGGUCUGAGAGGAUGAUCAGCCACAUUGGGACUGAGACACGGCCCACACUCCUACGGAAGGCAGCAGUGGGGAAUCUUGCGCAAUGGGCGAAAGCCUGACGCAGCCAUGCCGCGUGAAUGAUGAAGGUCUUAGGAUUGUAAAAUUCUUUCACCGGGGACGAUAAUGACGGUACCCGGAGAAGAAGCCCCGGCUAACUUCGUG
rnacentral:rRNA from 1 species